AGCUCCUGGUCCACAGGCUCACAGGCCCGGCAGCGGCCCCCAGAGGCCGGGCUGGGAAAAGCAGCGGGCUUCAGCGGAUGAACAAGGCUGGAGUGAAGCGGAACAAACAAACAUGGCUCACUGCAGAUUUGACUUCCUGGCUCAAGCAAUCCUCUUGCUUCAACCUCCAGUGUAGCAGGGACCACAGCAUGAAAGCCCCUUUAGGGGAGGUGACUGGAAUCAUCCCCAAAGAAUUCUCACCUAGUCCUGGUGUGGCUGCUUCAUAGUCCUGCGUUUCUUCCUGCUUGGCUGUCCCUAACAUCUCAGAAACGCAUAGAGAAGUAACGGGCUUCUAGAGAGGUAGGGGGUAUAGUGUUACAACUGAGGAUUUGGAAGUUGAGACCACCUGGUUCUUUACCAUCCACUAACCAUGUGACCUUAUGCAAUUUAUUCAACUGUUCUGUGCUUUGUUUUCUUAUUUACAAAAUGAGAUUAAUAGUAUACAGUAGUAAAUAUCAUAAAGGGUAGUGUGAUAAAUGAGCUGAUACAUUUGGAAUGGAGGGGAAUGACUGUUACAUAGUGAAUGCUCUGUGUAUCCUCACACUUGGGAAGUAUAUGUAAUCAGUGUAUGUAGUGCUUGAGGGAUUGUGAAUAAUACACAACAUAUCCUCAGUCAUCGAUUCAACAGAUGUUUAUUGAGCAUCUACUAUGUGCCAGUCCCUAUUCUAGGUCUGAGAGGAUAUACUGGUGAACUGCUCUAAUAGUUUAUAUUCCAGAGGAGAGAAUUUGACAGUAAACAUGUAACCAAGUUAAUAAGAUAAUUUCAGAUAAUGGCAGAUAUUAUGGGUUGAAUGAUGUCCCCCAAAAGAUGUUGAAGUCCUAACAUCUGGGACUAACACAUGGGAAUGUGACCUUUUUUGGAAAUAGGAUCGUUGCAGAUGAGGUCAUUGAUGUUAGCCCUAGACCAAUAUGACUGCGUCCUUAUAAAUAGGGGCAAUCUGGACACAGAGACAGACAUGUACCGUGUCUGAGGGAAGAUGAUGUAAAGAGACACAGGGUGAUCUGUAAGCCAAGGAAGACCUGAGGCUACCAAAAGCCAGGAAAGAGGUCUGGAACAGAUACUUCUCUGGCUCCCUUAGAAGGAACAUGGUCCUGCUGACACCUUAAUUUUGGAUUUCUGGCAUCCAGAACUCUGAGACAAUAUAUUUCUUUGGUUCUAAGCCAUCCACUUUGUGGUACUUUGCUACAGCAGCCCUAGAAAGCUAAUACAGUAGGUAAGAAGGUGAUGUGAUAGAGAGUAAGUGGGGGCAGGGUGGGAGGAGCUGCUUCAACUGGGGGAUUCAGGAAGGCCUAUGUUAUCUGGAAACCACUGAGGGUGGUAAGUAGGGAAGAGACUUGACUGGCUGACUUAAAAAGAAACUAUUUACGGGGGGAUAGAAUACAUAGGGGAAAAGACACAAAUCAUACAUGUAUUUUCAAUGAAUUUUUACAAAAUGAACACGUCAAUGUAACCAGUACCCAACUCCCUCUCCCAUGCCACCCUCUAAUUGAUGCCCACCCUAAGGGCAAACAAUAUUGUCAAUUCUAACACCCUAGAUUGAGUUUUGACUGUUUUUUGAAUUUCAUGUAAAUGGAAUCAUACAUGACAUACUCUUGUUUCCUUUCGCUCAUCAUGAGAUUCACCCACCUUGUGUAGUUUUAGUUCAUACAUUCUCAAUACUUUGUAGUAUUCCAUUGUGUGACUAUAUUAAAAUAUAGAUAUCUCUCUUGCUGUUAAGAGGCAUCUGGGUAGUUUCCAGUUUGGUCUAUUGUGAAUAGUGUUGCUAUGAACAUUCUUGUUCAUGUCUUUUGGUGAAUAUAUUUAUGCAUUUCUCUUGGGUGGGUCCCUAGAGUUGAGGUUUCUGGGAUCUCUCUCUCUCUCUUUCUCUUUCUCUCUCUCUCUUUAGGUAUAUUCAGCUUGAGUAGAUGCUACCAUCUCUGUGGCUGACAUAUUAGCAGAUUAUUUUGAGCUGGCCUGGUGUGCACCUGUAAUCCCAGCUCCUCAGGAGGCUGAGGCGGGAGGAUCACUUGAGCCAGGAGUUCGAGACCAACUUGGACAACAUAGCAAGACCCUGUCUCAGUCAGUCAAUCAAUCAAUGAUAAAUUUUGGUGCUGAGUGAAGAACAGAAUGUGACAGUUGGUGGGGGGUGGCAAGAGUGGAAAUGGAGAGACCAGAUAGGAGCCUAUUGUAAUAGUCCUAGCAAAGGAUGACAGUGGCUUUGGCCAGGGUAACAAGAGAUGGAGGAAAGCACACUCAUACAGGAUGCAUUAUACAGGGAAAGCUGACAGGACCUGCUGAUGGGUUGAAUGUGGAGAGACGAGGAAAAGAGAGGAAUCAAGGUUGACUGUUAGGUUUUUGGUUUGAACAACUAGGUGGACAGUUAUGUCAAUUACUGAGAUGGAGAAGAAUAGGAAAAUAACAGGUGUGUGGGAGAAUCAAGAAUUCUGGUUUGGCCAUGUUAAGUUUGAUAUGCUCAUUAGGUUUCCAAGUAGAAACAUCAAAUAGAUGGUUAGAACUCAGUGAAGAUGUCAGAUGGGAGAUACGAAUCUGGGGCCCUCAAAUCAGCAUACAGAUUUUUUUUUUUUUUUUUUUUUUUGA
rnacentral:lncRNA from 1 species